rnacentral:tRNA from 1 species
GGAAGCGUAUCGAAGUGGUCAUAACGGGGCUGACUCGAAAUCAGUUAGGGAGCAAUCCCCCGCGAGUUCGAAUCUCGCCGCUUCCGCCA